AGGUUCUUAUUCAUAGUCGGUCUAUUGGCUACUUUAAAACCUUUUGUUAAGGGCUAUGAUGCAGUAAGAUGUGAAGGUCCAAGUCCGGUGGAUGGAAAAUGCAGCGGAAAGCGUCGAAUAGCGUAUACCUAUCAUACGAAUGUUUGCUGGCAAUUAUGGUACACUGGAUGCACCAAAUACGGAAGUAAAAAUUUAUUUAGAUCACAUGGAGAAUGCAAAAGGGCUUGCUAUCACUGAAAUAUGUUAAGAACAUUAAAAGUUU
ensembl:ncRNA lncRNA:CR43917 long non-coding RNA:CR43917